rnacentral:rRNA from 1 species
UAGAGUUUGAUCCUGGCUCAGAUUGAACGCUGGCGGCAUGCCUUACACAUGCAAGUCGAACGGCAGCACGGGGGCAACCCUGGUGGCGAGUGGCGAACGGGUGAGUAAUACAUCGGAACGUGUCCUGUAGUGGGGGAUAGCCCGGCGAAAGCCGGAUUAAUACCGCAUACGAUCUACGGAGGAAAGCGGGGGAUCUUCGGACCUCGCGCUGCAGGGGCGGCCGAUGGCAGAUUAGCUAGUUGGUGGGGUAAAGGCCUACCAAGGCGACGAUCUGUAGCUGGUCUGAGAGGACGACCAGCCACACUGGGACUGAGACACGGCCCAGACUCCUACGGGAGGCAGCAGUGGGGAAUUUUGGACAAUGGGGGCAACCCUGAUCCAGCAAUGCCGCGUGUGUGAAGAAGGCCUUCGGGUUGUAAAGCACUUUUGUCCGGAAAGAAAACUUCGUCCCUAAUAUGGAUGGAGGAUGACGGUACCGGAAGAAUAAGCACCGGCUAACUACGUGCCAGCAGCCGCGGUAAUACGUAGGGUGCGAGCGUUAAUCGGAAUUACUGGGCGUAAAGCGUGCGCAGGCGGUCUGUUAAGACCGAUGUGAAAUCCCCGGGCUUAACCUGGGAACUGCAUUGGUGACUGGCAGGCUAGAGUGUGGCAGAGGGAGGUAGAAUUCCACGUGUAGCAGUGAAAUGCGUAGAGAUGUGGAGGAAUACCGAUGGCGAAGGCAGCCUCCUGG